AGAACGAACGCUGGCGGCGUGGAUAAGACAUGCAAGUCGAGCGCAAUACUCAUUGUAGCAAUACAGUGGGUGUUGAGCGGCGCAGGUGCGUAACACGUGGGUAAUUUGCCGUGAAGUUGGGGAUAACUCGCUGAAAGGCGAGCUAAUACCGAAUGUGGAAUGGGAGUGGCAUCACUUUUCUUCCAAAGCUGGGGAUCGUAAGACCUGGCGCUUCAUGAUAAGCCCCGCGGCCUAUCAGCUAGUUGGUGAGGUAACGGCUCACCAAGGCUAAGACGGGUAGCUGGUCUGAGAGGACGACCAGCCACACUGGAACUGAGACACGGUCCAGACACCUACGGGUGGCAGCAGUCGAG
rnacentral:rRNA from 1 species